GACGAACGCUGGCGGCGUGCUUAACACAUGCAAGUCGAGCGGUAAGGCCCUUUCGGGGGUACACGAGCGGCGAACGGGUGAGUAACACGUGGGUGACCUGCCCUCAGCUCUGGGAUAAGGCUGGGAAACUGGGUCUAAUACUGGAUAUGUGCUUUUCCCGCAUGGGGGGUGGUGGAAAGUUUGUUCGGUUGGGGAUGGGCUCGCGGCCUAUCAGCUUGUUGGUGGGGUGAUGGCCUACCAAGGCGACGACGGGUAGCCGGCCUGAGAGGGCGACCGGCCAGACUGGGGAUGAGACACGGACCAGUAUGCUACGGGAGAGAGCAGUAGAGUGCACUACGGGAGCGGGCGAGGUGUAGCGAAGCGGCGCGGCGUAUGAGAGGCCGGGGGUUGGAUUCCGCUCCUCUCAGGGACCAAGCGAAUUGGGACGGUAGGGGUAGAAGAAGCACCGGCUAACUACGUG
rnacentral:rRNA from 1 species